CCUACGGGAGGCUGCAGUGGGGAAUAUUGCACAAUGGGGGAAACCCUGAUGCAGCGACGCCGCGUGAGCGAUGAAGUAUUUCGGUAUGUAAAGCUCUAUCAGCAGGGAAGAAAAUGACGGUACCUGACUAAGAAGCCCCGGCUAACUACGUGCCAGCAGCCGCGGUAAUCCGUCGGGGGCAAGCGUUAUCCGGAUUUACUGGGUGUAAAGGGAGCGUAGCAGGCGAUGCAAGCCAGAUGUGAAAGCCCGGGGCUCAACCCCGGGACUGCAUUUGGAACUGUAUAGCUGGAGUGUCGGAGAGGCAGGCGGAAGUCCUAGUGUAGCGGUGAAAUGCGUAGAUAUUAGGAGGAACACCAGUGGCGAAGGCGGCCUGCUGGACGAUGACUGACGUUGAGGCUCGAAAGCGUGGGGAGCAAACAGGAUUAGAUACCCUGGUAGUC
rnacentral:rRNA from 1 species